rnacentral:lncRNA from 1 species
AUGGCAGACAGAGAGUUUGUCUGCUGCCUGGCGGAGCUCCGGCGCUUCCCCUCCGGGUCGCCGGACCCGCCUUUGAAAGUUCCCCCGCCCCGGUCCUCUCCGAGAUCUCCGGCAAUCCCUAGUCCCCCAGGGCGGGCAACGGCAGCUGGGGGUCGCCCCGCCCUCUGGGCUUCUCUCCGGGCCUCUGCCGGGAGCCCUGAAUGCUCAGCGUGGCCCCUCUGCUACCGGCAGACAGAGAGUUUUGUCUGCUGCCUGGCGGAGCUCCGGCGCUUCCCCACCGGGUCGCCGGAUGCGCCUUUGAAAGUUCCCCCGCCCCGGUCCUCUCCGAGAUCUCCGGCAAUCCCUAGUCCCCCGGGGCGGGCAAUGGCAGCUGGGGGUCGCCCCGCCCUCUGGGCUUCUCUCCGGGCCUCUGCCAGGAGCCCUGAGUGCUCAGCGUGGCCCCUCUGCUACUGGCAGACAGAGAGUUUUGUCUGCUGCCUGGCGGAGCUCCGGCGCUUCCCCACCGGGUCGCCGGAUGCGCCUUUGAAAGUUCCCCCGCCCCGGUCCUCUCCGAGAUCUCCGGCAAUCCCUAGUCCCCCGGGGCGGGCAAUGGCAGCUGGGGGUCGCCCCGCCCUCUGGGCUUCUCUCCGGGCCUCUGCCGGGAGCCCUGAGUGCUCAGCGUGGCCCCUCUGCUACUGGCAGACAGAGAGUUUUGUCUGCUGCCUGGCGGAGCUCCGGCGCUUCCCCACCGGGUCGCCGGAUGCGCCUUUGAAAGUCCCCCCGCCCCGGUCCUCUCCGAGAUCUCCGGCAAUCCCUAGUCUCCCGGGGCGGGCAACGGCAGCUGGGGGUCGCCCCGCCCUCUGGGCUUCUCUCCGGGCCUCUGCCGGGAGCCCUGAGUGCUCAGCGUGGCCCCUCUGCUACCGGCAGACAGAGAGUUUUGUCUGCUGCCUGGGGGAGCUCCGGCACUUCCCCUCCGGGUCGCCGAUCCGGCCUUUGAAAGUUCCCCCGCCCCGGUCCUCUCCGAGAUCUCCGGCAAUCCCUAGUCCCACAGGGCGGGCAACGGCAGCUGGGGGUCGCCCCGCCCUCUGGGCUUCUGUCCGGGCCUCUGCCGGGAGCCCUGAGUGCUCAGCGUGGCCCCUCUGCUACCGGCAGACAGAGAGUUUUGUCUGCUGCCUGGCGGAGCUCCGGCGCUUCCCCUCCGGUCGCCGAUCCGGCCUUUGA